GAGAAGGGAAGGAAGCCCAUGUGAGGACACUGAAGAAGGAGUGAGCAGACAAUAAGAAGCCCACAGAAGACAGAGAAGGAACAACUAGAGGGAGAAGCCAAGGCAGUUUCUCCACAGACACUACCCAAAGCAGUCCUUCACUACAGUGGCAGACAGACCUGAAAAUUUUCAUCUGAAGCAGCAGAGUGAACUGCAGAGUCAGGUCACCAACCAGUGUGGAGGCUAAAAGCGGGCCUCUUUGGGGAUUCCAGGAACAAAGAUCACCACAACUGGCUCCCCUUCAACUAUGUUAGAUGGCAACUUGCCUUCAGUAUGGUGAAACACAUCAGUUAAGACUGGGGUUGUGCAUGGCAGGACUUUCUACAAGGACACCCAGUCUCCUUAAUAAACAUGAGAUGCUCUCUUUCCAGAAGUUCUCUUGCCUGACACAGCAUAGGAAGAUGCUGAACGGCCACACAGUGACCCAUUGAGAUAGAAUCUCACUAUGUUGACCAGGCUGGUCUUGAACUCUUGGCACCCAAGCGAUCCUUUUGCCUGGAAUCCCAAAGUGUCAGAUUUACUGAAGAAUAUUUCAUUGUAAUUACUUUUUAUACUUUAUAGGUCAAGAGCUCUGUUUUAAAGACAAAAUUUAUUGAAUAUACUUUUUCAAACAAA
rnacentral:lncRNA from 10 species